UGUCUUUAAGAUCAGUGUCUUGAGGAAGUUCAUUACUUGCACAGCAUGAAUCAAUGCUGUCAGAGGAUCAGCCAUCUGGACCAGAUAGAGAUAGGCUCUGAUUUAAACCUUGUCUAAAAUUAGUGUUCAAAAGGAAUUCACCUCAACA